rnacentral:rRNA from 1 species
CGGGACGGGUGAGUAACGCGUGGGUAACCUGCCUUAUACUGGGGGAUAACAGCCAGAAGUGACUGCUAAUACCGCAUAAGCGCACAGAACCGCAUGGUUCGGUGUGAAAAACUCCGGUGGUAUAAGAUGGACCCGCGUUGGAUUAGCUAGUUGGCAGGGCAGCGGCCUACCAAGGCGACGAUCCAUAGCCGGCCUGAGAGGGUGAACGGCCACAUUGGGACUGAGACACGGACCAG